rnacentral:rRNA from 1 species
GGGUUGUGAGGUUAAGCGACUAAGCGUACACGGUGGAUGCCCUGGCAGUCAGAGGCGAUGAAGGGCGUGCUAAUCUGCGAUAAGCGCCGGUAAGGUGAUAUGAACCGUUAUAACCGGCGAUACCCGAAUGGGGAAACCCAGUGUGACUCGUCACACUAUCAUUAACUGAAUCCAUAGGUUAAUGAGGCGAACCGGGGGAACUGAAACAUCUAAGUACCCCGAGGAAAAGAAAUCAACCGAGAUUCCCCCAGUAGCGGCGAGCGAACGGGGAGGAGCCCAGAGCCUGAAUCAGCAUGUGUGUUAGUGGAAGCGUCUGGAAAGGCGCGCGAUACAGGGUGACAGCCCCGUACACAAAAGCGCAUGUGCUGUGAGCUCGAUGAGUAGGGCGGGACACGUGGUAUCCUGUCUGAAUAUGGGGGGACCAUCCUCCAAGGCUAAAUACUCCUGACUGACCGAUAGUGAACCAGUACCGUGAGGGAAAGGCGAAAAGAACCCCGGCGAGGGGAGUGAAAAAGAACCUGAAACCGUGUACGUACAAGCAGUGGGAGCCCCACCACUAAGCCAGUGGUGAACUCCACAUACGCAUCCUUUGCUGAGGAUACGGUUAACGGAGCGAAAGCGACGUUCAACCGCAAAAGAAGCAGAGGGGGCUUAGUGGUGGGGUGACUGCGUACCUUUUGUAUAAUGGGUCAGCGACUUAUAUUCUGUAGCAAGGUUAACCGAAUAGGGGAGCCGUAGGGAAACCGAGUCUUAACCGGGCGUUAAGUUG